rnacentral:lncRNA from 10 species
GGCCAAGCUGGAGGGCAGCCAGGCGGCAGCAGAAGCCUCUCCUCCUCCUGGUCCCCAUGGUGGGGGCUGGUUGCCACCCUCCCCCUUCCCCUGGGGAUGCUGCUGGUAGUCACUAUGGGGAUAAAGCGAUUAUGUUUCCAGACCAUAGGGAGCCAACUCCACCUGCAGGCCUGAGGGCCCUAGCCCCACUGCCGCCUGGGCAUGUCAGGGAGAGGGAUCACAGCUUUGCUUCCCACUGAGUGUCCUGGCCCCAGACAGCCCAUGCCUAAUGUGGGGCCACCUCCCUUUCCUUCUAACAUGAGCUGCCUCUCCUGACCUCAGAUGGCCUUGAUGCCUGACUGCUGUGUCCUGCUGGAGGAAUGAGGGCUGUAGGAGCCUCAAGAACAAAGGCCAUCAGAGAGGCCGUUUGCUGGCAUGGAGCCCCCCAGGACUCAUCAACCAUGGUUGAGGUUGACUGAAAACAGAGCAAGAGAGGCCCCCGCCUGUCUCAGAUGAGACUGGUGUUUUUUGCAAAUGGAUUACUUAAAGGUGUCUUGAAGGGGUAUGAUACUGCGAUAUGCACCUUUCACUGCCUGGAAUCUUCCUGAGUUUUGUCUUGGUCGAGCUGCCUUCCAUGUACAGCCCCCUCUGAAGAUGUUGGAAAGGAGGAGAAGGAAGAGGAAAGCAGAGGGGAUCGCCCCGCAGAGGCCAGCCUGCAGCCUGGGCUCCAUGCACCUCUGGCUGCUAACGGGAUCCACCUCGGGUCAAGAAGGUGCUGGCUCACACUUUCCUCAAGAUUUUAGAGAUGCAUGUAUCCCAGUGCAUGUCCUGGAAAGCCUUUAAAAUUCAGAGAAAACAAGCAAAGCUCUGGCUAAUUAAAUGUUUUCUGCUUACCGUUGUUAACAUAUUAAUGAAACAGGUUAAAUGUAUUACUCAGUGAUGAGGAAGCUCUUAGCUUCUAUGCACCCCUUUUUGAGAGGAUUUCUCCAAGUGGCAUCAGUGUUUACAGUGCACUGGCUUCCUGUUCAUAGGACUUUUAUGUGGGGGUGGUGGCAAGGCAGAAAGCAUCCCCAGGGUGAGAAGGGGAUGGGGAGGUCCACGUUGCAGUUCAGACCCCCUCGUCACCUGCCUUUGAGACAGCCACGUCCCUGAGCCUUUCCUGUCAAAUGAGGGUAGGUAAGUUUCUAAUGUUCCCGUUUUGACCUCUCAGACUCAGGGACUGGGGCUAGAGCACGGGUCCUCUCGUUGAAGUCACUGUAGCACUUCAGAGGCAUCAGCACUCUUGCUUUAUUUUGCACAUCCUUGGUUGUCAGUUAUUAUGGGUACACAGCAAGCUACCCCAAACUUAGUACAACAACAACCGUUUUGCUGUGCUCACGGAUUCUGUGGGUAAGGAAUUUGGAAGGGGCCCAGGGUGUGGUGUGUCAUUUGGGAAGAUUUGAGUCAGUAGUAGGUUUGCUCACUCCCAUGUCUGUGGCGCACGUGGCCUCUGUGUGGCUGGGCUUCCUCACAGCAUGGCGUCCUGAGCUGCCUUUCAUGGGGGCUUACUCAGGGCUCCCAGCACAAGGGUUCCAGCCAACAGGGUGGAUUUCACAGCGCCUUUUCUGGCCCAGUCUCUG